AUGGACAAGUACACAAUUCGCAUCCUUGCGCUAGCCCUACUGUCUCUACAUCUCGUAUGCUCUACCACUGUUGUUCAAUGCCGAAUCAUGUCUGACAUGGAUAUCGAGAAGAUUAGUUUACCACACGGCCUAUGCGCUCAUGUGGGUCGGGUUUAUUGUAGCGUUAAGGGAUAUUGCGACUGUUGUUUGGUAGAUGAUUUGUGCUAUCCAACUAUGGAUGAGUGCGAGAGAAAGUGUAAAAAAUCCUUGUCUUCAGAAGACAUACUACGGGCGAUGACAUCCCCUCCUUAUUUACCUGCUCCUUAA
rnacentral:rRNA from 1 species